UUAUAAUACGGCAUACUUAAAAACACAAUAGUUUUUUGCUAGAAAAAUUUGUUCACAGACUAAGAUUAUUGUAAUCGAUAACAAUAAAAAAUUAUAUAGAAAAUUUCAGACUGUGUGAAGUAAGAUAAAUUUUAGAGAGCAAAGAUAAACAAAUUUUUUUUCCAAAUUUCGCAUAGUCGGAUUGUACGCAUGCUUCGGUGACUAAAUCGUUCUUUUUCUGCAACGGGGAUACGUUGCGAAUUCAAAGCAAUCGAUAUUGACUUUUAGUUCAUCGAGUCGAAGCAUAAAAUCCUGAUUAUUAAGAUUCUCUGCGCUUCGAAUAUGGAUUUCACGGAAAGUCACAGUAUGAACGAAUAUGUAUCUUCCGCUGAGCGAGAAAAGAAAUAUUAGCGCCGAGCGUGGUCAUUCGUUAAAACGUAGCUGUUCUCAAAAUACAUAAUACCAGAGUAAUAAAAAUUAUCAAUUCCAGACAUUAAAUUUAUGUUCCCGGUAAAAUUUGCUCUACAAAGAAUACAAAGUUUGCACGGUGUUUCUUCGUUGAUCCGAGUUACCGAUUGCAGUAGUUGCAGAUGAACUGAAAUAGUCCCGUAUAUGGAGCGCAUUAUCUUCAUUUAUAAUGGUGUCUAUAUUGGGGAAUAAGUAUGAGUUAAACAAAAUGGAAACGAGGAAGAGAAAAAGAGUCGAAAGAGGUCGAGUAAGUCAUUAGAAUUUCUUAGUGGUAAAUCAAUAAUAGGAAAGCGUUGGUUUCGGAGUGUGUAGUAUAUAUUAGAUAAAUUUUAUAAUAAUUCAUUUUUCUAAUUCUAUUAUAUUCUAUUUCUUUCUAUUUGUCUAUUUAUUUCUCUAUUUCUGUUAUAUUUUUUCGAAAUUUGCAGCGAUAGAAAAACACAAUAUAUCGGAGAUGAUCUAAUUAUAUAAUAACAAUAAAACACUUGUAUGAUUUUACAAACAGUAAAAUUUCUUUUACAGUUGAUACAAUAUUUCUUAAUGAAAAAAUCAACUGGAAGUAUUUUCUACCACAAAACCCUUAUCACCUUUAACCGAAACAUUUAUUUUUUUCUCGUUACACGCAUUCCUCCUAUGUGACGGCCACAUACAGAGGGAAAAAUGGUAGAAGAAUUGGUAAUUAAAAGCAGCCCAGUGAAUUGAAUUUUACGCGAGGCCAAUUUCACCGUAACCAUUUCAUCGUUCGUAUUGGCCUUUUAAUUAUCGAAAAACCAAACGCGCAUCGACUAUUCCGCAGGCGUAAUUAAUUUUCCUUUCUAUCGGUUCGUUAGCGCGUUACCAGAGGUUUUGCGACCGAUGAGCAAACACAUUUCCGGUUCCUCGUCGGUGAAGCAAAACGCUAUUCGACUAAUUUAGCGACGCGAUACCUUGUCCGUGCCUGAAACAGUUUAGCUGUUUCUCCUGGCAUAAUAUUUUAAGUUUCUUUUAGCACGAUGAUUCUGCAUUGGAGAUAAAGCAAAAAAAAUUUAGUUUUAUUCGGGUGUACGAGAACAGAUUUUCAUUGAAAUUGUAACUACAAAGACAGCAUAUAAAAAAGCAUCGGAAUGUUCUCGAAGUAUACGAAAAAGAUUCUCGUUAAAAUUUCUGUACUAAAUAUUGCAAUAAUAAUAAUUGUAACGUGUUAAAAUGUGGUUAAAUUUGACUAUAAAAUCUUUGAAGAAUUGCGAUUGUAUCAGAUUUUAUUGUAAAAUCUUAUGCAAUUUGUAUUUGUGGAAAGUUUGCGAUCAAAUCUCACACGAAGAAUUCUUUCGUGGAAGUUUCAUUCAAGAAGUUUGAAACGAAUCUUCGCUCCAAGUUCAGCGUAUGGAGUGUAAAAUUGAAAGUUUCCUCUUUUGAUAAUGUCGCUAUGACAAGUAUAAGAAAUGUUUGCUUCGAAUUCCGUGUAACGAUUGGAAAAGUUGAUGGAAGAAGAAAUUGUGAGGGUAAAAAUAUUAAGCAAAUCCUUGGAAUCUUUCCUUAGAAUUUCUUCUCUCUCAGUCAUACAAAAACUUAGGAACCACGUCAAAGUAUGCAACUUUUUUCGCGUGAUAACUUGUGAACAGGAAAAUACUUAAACUUAAAAAUUGGUAUCGUUCACCUUCAUUGGGAAAAUGGUUUCAAUCGACAUAAAUCAAAAUAAAUUUAGGUUGAAAAAGCUGGACGAAUUUACUCUUCUUCUUUCUAAAUUUCAUGGAAAAAUUUAAUAUACGAGGUUUUCUUCCAAAGAAAUAUUCUAAUUUUACAUUUCUGCAACAAGUGACGGCAUUCUAGUUCUCGUCAUUUUGUAGGUCAGGUUUUGUAGAUAGUUUUUAUCCGAAAGUAAUAAGCCUUUCCAUUUCUUUUCUACGUCUGUUCUCGAGAACAAAAGGAUUCUGUGAUAAAAAAGAAAGUGGAGCUCAAAGAACAAUUAUUUCGAGCAAAUAUAAUCUUCCGUUUUAUAAAGGCAAAGUGUUAACGAUAAGAAUGCUAAAUUUCAUUUCUCCCAUGAAUUAAAGGAUGUAGGUGGCUAUCUGAUUACGUCAAUUGGUUUUUUCAUUUAAUACUUUAUCGUUCAACCGCACUAUGUGUAUUGUUUCUACUUAGUAUACACAUACGUUUAUACAGAAUAAUAGUAGUAUAACUACGUUUGUACAGAGCGGAGCGGUAAUUGUAGCGUAUCGAACAGGCAGUGGUUUUACAUGAAACAAUAACAGAAAAGUUUGAUAUAAUAUUUUUUCACACGAGGUUUCGCUUUCGAGAAAAUCGGCUUUAGAGGUUUGACAACUAUAUUUUAAUUUUGCUAAUUCCGAACUGAACAAGAGUAAAUAAUCGACAGGGGUUUAAACUACAUUGGGAAAUAAAUAAAAAAUGUAGAAUAUCAUCUUUUCAGAAGGUGCUACAUUUUCGAGAAAAAGAAAUUUGGAAAUAUAUCAUGCACGUGUAUCAGACCAGUUCGUAAUUAAACACAUUUAAAUCUUAUUUUCUUGAAAAUGGAGCUUUAAACGAACAAAUAUUUUCACAGGUACAAUAACCUUCCGUUUAUUGUUUACUCAUACCUAACCGAUACUUAGGCAAGUUAAAGUAUACUCGACAAAUUUCCAAGUUGGAUUUUCCCAGAAGCGAAGCGCCGUAUGAAAAGUUUUAUUCUAUAUUUUCGAUUAUCUUUUCACGUAGCAUUGCUUCCUGCUCGAUUGUAUUACGAUUACCGCAGCAUCCUGUAUACAUUUAAUAAAUAAAAUUAAUUACUCAAUAGUUAAAGAGUUUCAGAGGAUAUUGUGU